UACGAAGGGGGCUAGCGUUGCUCGGAAUUACUGGGCGUAAAGCGCACGUAGGCGGUCUUUUAAGUCGGGGGUGAAAUCCCAGGGCUCAACCCUGGAACUGCCUUUGAUACUGUCGAUCUGGAGUAUGGAAGAGGUGAGUGGAAUUCCGAGUGUAGAGGUGAAAUUCGUAGAUAUUCGGAGGAACACCAGUGGCGAAGGCGGCUCACUGGUCCAUUACUGACGCUGAGGUGCGAAAGCGUGGGGAGCGAACAGG
rnacentral:rRNA from 1 species